CAGGGCCGCGGGUGCGGAGCAACGGGUCUGCGCGUGAUCUGAAGGCGGGACUCAGCGGUCUCGCGGCAGGGCCUUGCAUAUUGGCUUCAGGACACUCGAUAUUGGUUGGCUGAAGACCUACAGAUGCUCGCCUCAAUUCUGAUCUCUAGGUUAUGCCUGCCUGUGGCAGCAUGGAAACAGCAGUACCACGAGGGGAAACACGUCUCCUUCAAAUACAAAACUAAGUCAGAAGACUAACACUUAGUGAGGUGACAUACUCUCGGCACCAUAUGUAUUCUCACCUGUGGUGCUUUUUAUAAAACUUGAUUAAAUUAGUCCUUAAGAGAAAAUGUAACUCUCUCCUGACACAUUUGCAAGAAGACCAAAAAAACAAAAAACAAAAAAAACAAACCACAAAAAUGAUUUAUCAGCACCAAGGAGCUUAAAAAUAAAAAGCAACCCGAACCCUGGACUCAGACCCAGCCCAACCCAGACACUGGAUUCAUUAGUUCUGAAAUGGAGCCCAGGAACCUGGUUUUUAUAACAGCCGUUUCUGUUGGUGUAAACAAUAACACAAAUGGGGCCACUUUAAAAUGGAACUGGCACUGCCACGUCAGGGGAACUGCUUUGCAGGUCUUAUGUCCCAAAUCUUUGGAAUGUUGAACAGGGCAAAAUGUCCUUUGGCCUGGAUCUAAGCAACGCUGUGCCUUGCAAAAGAACUGUUUGCAAAGAUAACAAGAAAGCUAUUGUUAUACUACUACACUGCUGACUUGCCGGACUGAAAAAA